AUCCAGCUUGCUGGAUGCUGACGAGCGGCGGACGGGUGAGUAAUGCAUAGGAAUCUGCCCGAUAGUGGGGGAUAACCUGGGGAAACCCAGGCUAAUACCGCAUACGUCCUACGGGAGAAAGGGGGCUUCGGCUCCCGCUAUCGGAUGAGCCUAUGUCGGAUUAGCUAGUUGGUGAGGUAAAGGCUCACCAAGGCAACGAUCCGUAGCUGGUCUGAGAGGAUGAUCAGCCACAUCGGGACUGAGACACGGCCCGAACUCCUACGGGAGGCAGCAGUGGGGAAUAUUGGACAAUGGGGGCAACCCUGAUCCAGCCAUGCCGCGUGUGUGAAGAAGGCCCUCGGGUUGUAAAGCACUUUCAGCGAGGAAGAACGCCUAGCGGUUAAUACCCGCUAGGAAAGACAUCACUCGCAGAAGAAGCACCGGCUAACUCCGUGCCAGCAGCCGCGGUAAUACGGAGGGUGCAAGCGUUAAUCGGAAUUACUGGGCGUAAAGCGCGCGUAGGUGGCUUGAUAAGCCGGUUGUGAAAGCCCCGGGCUCAACCUGGGAACGGCAUCCGGAACUGUCAAGCUAGAGUGCAGGAGAGGAAGGUAGAAUUCCCGGUGUAGCGGUGAAAUGCGUAGAGAUCGGGAGGAAUACCAGUGGCGAAGGCGGCCUUCUGGACUGACACUGACACUGAGGUGCGAAAGCGUGGGUAGCAAACAGGAUUAGAUACCCUGGUAGUCCACGCCGUAAACGAUGUCGACCAGCCGUUGGGUGCCUAGCGCACUUUGUGGCGAAGUUAACGCGAUAAGUCGACCGCCUGGGGAGUACGGCCGCAAGGUUAAAACUCAAAUGAAUUGACGGGGGCCCGCACAAGCGGUGGAGCAUGUGGUUUAAUUCGAUGCAACGCGAAGAACCUUACCUACUCUUGACAUCCUGCGAAUUCGGUAGAGAUACCUUAGUGCCUUCGGGAACGC
rnacentral:rRNA from 1 species